AGAGUUUGAUCAUGGCUCAGAUUGAACGCUGGCGGCAGGCCUAACACAUGCAAGUCGAGCGGAAACGAGUUAUCUGAACCUUCGGGGAACGAUAACGGCGUCGAGCGGCGGACGGGUGAGUAAUGCCUAGGAAAUUGCCCUGAUGUGGGGGAUAACCAUUGGAAACGAUGGCUAAUACCGCAUGAUGCCUACGGGCCAAAGAGGGGGACCUUAGGGCCUCUCGCGUCAGGAUAUGCCUAGGUGGGAUUAGCUAGUUGGUGAGGUAAUGGCUCACCAAGGCGACGAUCCCUAGCUGGUCUGAGAGGAUGAUCAGCCACACUGGAACUGAGACACGGUCCAGACUCCUACGGGAGGCAGCAGUGGGGAAUAUUGCACAAUGGGCGCAAGCCUGAUGCAGCCAUGCCGCGUGUGUGAAGAAGGCCUUCGGGUUGUAAAGCACUUUCAGUCGUGAGGAAGGUAGUGUAGUUAAUAGCUGCAUUAUUUGACGUUAGCGACAGAAGAAGCACCGGCUAACUCCGUGCCAGCAGCCGCGGUAAUACGGAGGGUGCGAGCGUUAAUCGGAAUUACUGGGCGUAAAGCGCAUGCAGGUGGUUUGUUAAGUCAGAUGUGAAAGCCCGGGGCUCAACCUCGGAAUAGCAUUUGAAACUGGCAGACUAGAGUACUGUAGAGGGGGGUAGAAUUUCAGGUGUAGCGGUGAAAUGCGUAGAGAUCUGAAGGAAUACCGGUGGCGAAGGCGGCCCCCUGGACAGAUACUGACACUCAGAUGCGAAAGCGUGGGGAGCAAACAGGAUUAGAUACCCUGGUAGUCCACGCCGUAAACGAUGUCUACUUGGAGGUUGUGGCCUUGAGCCGUGGCUUUCGGAGCUAACGCGUUAAGUAGACCGCCUGGGGAGUACGGUCGCAAGAUUAAAACUCAAAUGAAUUGACGGGGGCCCGCACAAGCGGUGGAGCAUGUGGUUUAAUUCGAUGCAACGCGAAGAACCUUACCUACUCUUGACAUCCAGAGAACUUUCCAGAGAUGGAUUGGUGCCUUCGGGAACUCUGAGACAGGUGCUGCAUGGCUGUCGUCAGCUCGUGUUGUGAAAUGUUGGGUUAAGUCCCGCAACGAGCGCAACCCUUAUCCUUGUUUGCCAGCGAGUAAUGUCGGGAACUCCAGGGAGACUGCCGGUGAUAAACCGGAGGAAGGUGGGGACGACGUCAAGUCAUCAUGGCCCUUACGAGUAGGGCUACACACGUGCUACAAUGGCGCAUACAGAGGGCAGCAAGCUAGCGAUAGUGAGCGAAUCCCAAAAAGUGCGUCGUAGUCCGGAUUGGAGUCUGCAACUCGACUCCAUGAAGUCGGAAUCGCUAGUAAUCGUGGAUCAGAAUGCCACGGUGAAUACGUUCCCGGGCCUUGUACACACCGCCCGUCACACCAUGGGAGUGGGCUGCAAAAGAAGUAGGUAGUUUAACCUUCGGGAGGACGCUUACCACUUUGUGGUUCAUGACUGGGGUGAAGUCGUAACAAGGUAGCGCUAGGGGAACCUGGCGCUG
rnacentral:rRNA from 1 species